rnacentral:rRNA from 1 species
GCUGGCGGUGCGCCUUAUGCAUGCAAGUCGAGCGAAGCUUUUCAGUAGAUUACUACAGAAAAUGACUGAGCGGCGAACGGGUGAGUAACGCGUGAGCAAUCUACCUUAGUUACAGGGAUAGCCCGAGGAAACUCGGAUUAAUACCUGAUAUUCUUUACAUUUCGCAUGAAAUCAAAAGGAAAGGUCAGCCGAACUAAGAUGAGCUCGCGUUCUAUCAGCUAGUUGGUGAGGUAAUAGCUCACCAAGGCAACGACGGAUAGCUGGUCUGAGAGGACGAUCAGCCACACUGGGACUGAGACACGGCCCAGACUCCUACGGGAGGCUGCAGCAGGGAAUAUUGUGCAAUGAACGAAAGUUUGACACAGCGACACCGCGUGUGGGAUGACGGAUCUAGGUUUGUAAACCACUUUCAGGAGGGAAGAAAAUGACGGUACCUCCACAAGAAGCCCCGGCCAACUACGUGCCAGCAGCCGCGGUAAUACGUAGGGGGCGAGCGUUGUCCGGAUUUAUUGGGCGUAAAGAGCUCGUAGGCGGUUCAACAAGUCGGUCGUAAAAGUUCAGGGCUCAACCCUGAAAUGUCGAUCGAUACUGUUGUGACUAGGAUACGGUAGA